rnacentral:lncRNA from 1 species
CUUUCAGCCUCUUCCUGUUUCAUUUCUUGCACAUUUUUAGAACUCUCAGAGCACUGUUUUGUCGACCAAAACCAGACUUGUGUUCUUCAAAUGCAGUGAGUAGGGAAGUCUCUUGACAUUAUUAGAGAUCAAUCCCAAGUAUCUCCAAAUAAACCCUCAAGAAAACCUUUCCAAUUCAAUCAAGGUAAACACUGUCUGCCCUAACAUUCUUUCAACAUGUUUUCCCUUUUAUGUUUUUUUUAUGACGAAAGAUUCAACAUUUCUAGAAAUUGAAUCAUGCAUUCACCUUUAACAUGAGGUUUUAGAAAGUUUAAGACUUGAUUCAUCAAAUUAGUUGAAUCAUGUAACUAUCAUUAAAAAGUGGCAUCUAAGGUUUCUGAAAACCAGGACUUAAACUAGUUGAAUUGAAUCAUGAAUCCCAAUUUCAACGAUGAAAGAUUGCACUUUUUCGACUAAGCCUAUUCGAUUCUUCAACUUUUGGUCAGCAUCCUGAUUUCCUAAGCAUUGUUAAGAAUUCAUGGUUUAUCAAUUGUUAAGCAUUGUUAUAGAUGCUACUUGCUAAAAGAUGCUUAUUCUAUAUUCAUUAUGUUUACCUAUUCUGUUCAAAGUACUUCAUCUUCUAUGUGAAUAAGUACGCCUACUUGUUCCCUUCUCUGGCCACCAUUAGUUGCAUCGAAUUGAGCUUCAGAUGUUUGUAAAGCAUGAAAAUUUUGGUUUAGUAAUUCGUAUAAAUCUGUAUGCAUUGCUUUUGAUGAGAAAAUUUAACAAUUAACCAUAAUUUUUGCAGGAGGAAAGAAGAACACAACAACCAACUAAG